AUGAACAGUAACUAAGAAACUACUGGAAGCUACGAAUGAGUCUCGCCCGCUGUCUCCUUCUCCAUUACCCGGUUACAUAUCCAGGUUAAACAAGGUUUACCGUCAAAAUGACGAUUACAGCAGGUCUUAAACGGAGAAAACGACGAUAAAGCGUCGAUUACAGUAAUUAAUACACCAAACUGGUACCGAGUAGUGCCAGAUUUCUUCUAGCUUCCGUUUAAGUGAAGUCGCUCCUUCCUUUUCCUUCCUCCGCCGGCUUCACCCUGUUGCUGUUUGUUGCUGCUUACUGACGAACUGAUCUUCUGCUACUGCGGUUCCUGACAAGUCCCCCCUCUUGACAUCAUCCUUGUCCUCAAGGAUGGAACUCUGGGAAUGAAGCUCUGACGAAUGAGACAUCCUCCCAACUUGCUUCUUCUGGUGUCAGUCCCUCCCAAUGGAUUAACCAUUGAGCCACCACUUCUCCCCGUCUGGGUAUGAUCCUCCUGUCCAAGACUGACACUGGAUGAGUUUUGAUCUUCCCUUCUGUUGUCACCAUGGGUAAACCUGGGAGAUGUACUGCUUGCUUCCCUAGAUGUUUCAUGAGCUGGCUGACAUGGAAUACAGGGUGUAUACCUGCAUCUUCUGGUAACUGAAACUUGUAAGCAGCUGCUCCAAAUUUUGCAAUCACCUUGAAUGGCCCAUAGUAUUUAGCCCUCAAUUUCAGUUAUCCUCUCAAACCAAAUGCAUUUUGACGAUAUGCUUGCAUCUUUAAGUAGACCAUAUCCCCAAUUUCCAAAGUUCUUUCAGUUCUCCUUCUGUCAGCAAAAUGUUUCAUCCUCUCUCGACCUGUCUUCAGAUUGACCUUGAUCUGUUGUAGCAUUCUCUCUUUCUCCUCCAAAAUUCUAGCCUUUUCUGAUACAUUACAUGGAAUGGAAAACUCACUGAUUUGAGGUGGGUGAUAUCCAUACAAAGCUUGAAAUGGAGUAAUCUUCAAGGCAGUAUGAUAACUAGUGUUAUACCACCAUUCUGCCAUUGUCAACCAUGUCGGCCAUUCCUUUGGUUCUUGAAAUGUCAUGCUCCUCAAAUAUGCUUCAAGGCAUUGAUUAACUCUUUCCGUUUGACCAUCACUUUGGGGGUGAUAAGCUGUACUGAACCUCAAAGACACCUUCAAUGCUUUGAAUAUCUCUUGGAAGAGCUUACUAGUAAAGACCUUAUCUCUGUCAAUCACUAUAGCUAUUGGCAUGUCAUGCAACUUAAAUAUAUUAUCCGUAAAGAUUUGAACAACCUGCUGGACAGUGUAGGGAUGAGACAUGGCUAAGAAGUGUGCAUACUUGGUAAAUCUAUCUACCACCACAAGUAUGACAUCUUUUCCCCUUGACUUCGGCAAUCCCUUGAUGAAAUCCAUUGUGAUAUGUGUCCAAGCCAUUUCUGGUACCUACAAUGGAUUCAGCAACCCUGGAAUAUGUAGAUUCUCAGAUUUUUGUCACCUGGCAGAUUGGGCAUUCAGCUACCAAUUCUUUCACUGAUGUUUUUAACUUUGGCCAGUACAAGAGCUUCUUUAUCCUCUGGUAUGUAGCUCUUCUUCCUGAAUGCCCUCCAAAAGCAGAUGAGUGGAAUGUUUUGAGUAGUAACUGCCUAGUGUUAUUGCUGGUUCCCACAUAGAUUUUUCCUUUAUACCUGAUCAGGUUGUCCACCAUUGAACAAUGAUGUAGUGGAUUUUCAGGUUGUUGGAGCUGUACCAGAAGUUGUCGACUAGUUUCAUCCCCCAAGUAACUGGCUUUAAUUUCUUCUACCCAUUCAGACUCGCACGGGAUGCCCGGCGGAGCGUAGAGCCUGCCGCCGCAGAAUGCCAGAUCAUCGUACCACCGACACCGGUAGACUCUGGAGACAUUGAUUAUCAGCGAUUGCAAAAAUAUUCUAUCACCACCAAGCUGGAACUCUUUGCCGGAGAACAUGGAGCACCUAACAUCGCUUAAGGUAUUGAAAAUCUGGCAGUGCGAAAAUAUCAUGUCACUACCAACAUUACCUCCAUCCCUCAAGAAAUUAGAACUUCUCGGGUGCAACCGUUCUCUCAUGGAGACCUGUCAGACGGAUCCAAAUUUGCAGAAGAUUCUGCAUAUCAUAGAGCUAUUUGACCAAGAGAUUUACAACCGCUAUUGCUCACACUCACUCAUCAGCCUAUUCUAAUUUGGGGCUUUGACAAGGGUUUGGAAGAUGCAUGGAG